GCCUCGGUCUUUGUGCACAAUGUUAUUCCUGCAAAAAUGAUUUUAUCAGUUAAUAUAAUACAUACAAUACACUAAACUCAAUGUUUACUCAAGUCAGAAUCAGUAAAUUGUGCAAAAAUAAUGAAAAAUUAUACUAAAUUUUAUACAGGUGCCAUACCUUCUCCUACUGUCAAUCAGCAAAAACAAAACAAAACCCCACUCGUAUAUGAUGAAUGAUAUUUGUACUACAAUACACAGCUCCCUACGCAUUAAUACUAAAAUAGAAUACUAUAUUUGGUGAACAAUAUACUGGAAAAAGCUAAGAAUAUA